rnacentral:rRNA from 1 species
GAUCCUGGCUCAGGAUGAACGCUAGCUACAGGCUUAACACAUGCAAGUCGAGGGGCAGCAUGGUCUUAGCUUGCUAAGGCUGAUGGCGACCGGCGCACGGGUGAGUAACACGUAUCCAACCUGCCGUCUACUCUUGGCCAGCCUUCUGAAAGGAAGAUUAAUCCAGGAUGGGAUCAUGAGUUCACAUGUCCGCAUGAUUAAAGGUAUUUUCCGGUAAACGAUGGGGAUGCG